rnacentral:rRNA from 1 species
ACGAACGCUGGCGGCGUGCUUAACACAUGCAAGUCGAACGGUGAAGCGCCUUCCUUUUUGGUGGGUGUGGAUGAGUGGCGAACGGGUGAGUAACACGUGAGUAACCUGCCCCCUUCUUCUGGAUAACCGCAUGAAAGUGUGGCUAAUACGGGAUAUUCUGGGUCUGUCGCAUGAUGGGUCUGGGAAAGAUAUUGUUUCGGUGGGGGAUGGGCUCGCGGCCUAUCAGCUUGUUGGUGGGGUGGUGGCAUACCAAGGCGGUGGCGGGUAGCCGGCUUGAGAGGGUGGACGGCCACACUGGGACUGAGACACGGCCCAGACUCCUACGGGAGGCAGCAGUGGGGAAUAUUGCACAAUGGGCGCAAGCCUGAUGCAGCGACGCCGCGUGAGGGAUGGAGGCCUUCGGGUUGUGAACCUCUUUCGCCAGUGAAGCAGGCCUGCCUCGUUUGUGGGUGGGUUGACGGUAGCUGGAGAAGAAGCGCCGGCUAACUACGUG